UAUAAGCUAUUAAGGGCUAAUGGUGGAUGCCUUGACUGUAAGAGGCGAUGAAAGACGUAUUAGGCUGCGAUAAGCCUCGGGGAGCUGCCAAAGAGCUUUGAUCCGGGGAUUUCUGAAUGGGGCAACCCAAUAUAAUGAGAAUUAUAUUACCCUACGGGGAGCGAACCUGGUGAAGUGAAACAUCUCAGUAGCCAGAGGAAGAGAAAUCAAUUGAGAUUCCGUCAGUAGCGGCGAGCGAACGCGGAUUAGGACAAACCCAAUGCUUGCAUUGGGGGUUGUAGGACUAUAAUGUGUAGUUAAAGAGAAUAGAUGAAUUAGUUGGAAAGCUAGAGCAUAGAAGGUGAUACUCCUGUAAUUAAAAUUCUCAAUAACGCUAAUAGUAUCCUGAGUAGGUCGGAACACGUGAUAUUUUGACUGAAGCUGGGGGGACCACCCUCCAAUCCUAAAUACUACUUACAGAUCGAUAGUGAACAAGUACCGUGAGGGAAAGGUGAAAAGUACUGCAGCGAGCAGAGUGAAAUAGAACCUGAAACCAUUAGCUUACAAUCAUUCAGAGCCCUAUGAUUUAUCAGGGUGAUGGACUGCCUUUUGCAUAAUGAGCCUGCGAGUUGUGGUGUCUGGCAAGGUUAAGCCAAGUGCGAAGCCGUAGCGAAAGCGAGUCUUAAUAGGGCGACAUAGUCAGAUGCUGCAGACCCGAAACGAAGUGAUCUAUCCAUGAGCAGGUUGAAGCUGGUGUAAGAGCCAGUGGAGGACCGAACCCGCUGACGUUGAAAAGUCUUGGGAUGACUUGUGGAUAGGGGUGAAAGGCCAAUCAAACUUCGUGAUAGCUGGUUCUCUCCGAAAUAUAUUUAGGUAUAGCCUUGUGUUGUAGCAUAUAGGGGUAGAGCACUGAAUGGGCUAGGGCUGCUUACCGCGGUACCAAACCCUAUCAAACUAUGAAUACUAUAUGUGGAAUCACAGGAGUCAGGCGGUGGGUGAUAAAAUCCGUCGUCAAGAGGGGAACAACCCAGACUAACAGCUAAGGUCCCUAAGUUACAUCUAAGUGGAAAACGAUGUGGAGUUACUGUGACAACCAGGAGGUUGGCUUAGAAGCAGCCAUCCUUUAAAGAAAGCGUAACAGCUCACUGGUCUAGUGAUUCUGCGCGGAAAAUAUAACGGGGCUAAGAUGUACACCGAAGCUUUAGAUUCAAUUUUUAAUUGAGUGGUAGGAGAGCGUUCUAUUCAGCGUUGAAGGUAUACCGGUAAGGAGUGCUGGAGCGGAUAGAAGUGAGCAUGCAGGCAUGAGUAGCGUUAAAACAGGUGAGAAUCCUGUUCGCCGAAAACCCAAGGUUUCCUACGCGAUGCUCGUCAUCGUAGGGUUAGUCGGGUCCUAAGUCGAGUCCGAAAGGGGUAGACGAUGGCAAAUUGGUUAAUAUUCCAAUACCAACAUAUAAGCGCGAUGUGGGGACGCAUAGAGUUAAUCGAGGUCACGGAUGGAAGUGUGGCUCGAAGGAUGUAGGUUGUUAAGUAGGCAAAUCCGCUUAACGUUAGACCGAGAUCUUACAGGCUCUUGACACUCUUCGGAGGAGAUGGAGAAUCGAUGAUACUGUCGUGCCAAGAAAAGCCACUAAGUAUAUUAUAUGUUGCCCGUACCGUAAACCGACACAGGUGGGUGGGAUGAGUAUUCUAAGGCGCGUGGAAGAACCCUCUUUAAGGAACUCUGCAAACUAGCACCGUAUCUUCGGUAUAAGGUGUGCCUACUUUGGUAUAUGGACUUGCUCCAAAAAGCUAAAGAGGUUGCAACAAAGAGUCCCUCCCGACUGUUUACCAAAAACACAGCACUUUGCUAACACGUAAGUGGAUGUAUAAGGUGUGACGCCUGCCCGGUGCUCGAAGGUUAAUUGAUGAUGUCAGCGCAAGCGAAGCAUUUGAUCGAAGCCCGAGUAAACGGCGGCCGUAACUAUAACGGUCCUAAGGUAGCGAAAUUCCUUGUCAGUUAAAUACUGACCUGCAUGAAUGGCGUAACGAGAUGGGAGCUGUCUCAAAGAGGGAUCCAGUGAAAUUGUAGUGGAGGUGAAAAUUCCUCCUACCCGCGGAAAGACGGAAAGACCCCGUGCACCUUUACUACAGCUUGACACUGUAGCUUGGAUAUUCAUGUGCAGGAUAGGUGGGAGGCUAUGAUGACUAGACGCCAGUAGAGUCGGAGCCAUCCUUGAGAUACCACCCUUGAAUAUUUGAGUUACUAACUGCGAUGAGUUAACCUCAUUCAGGACAAUGUCUGGUGGGUAGUUUGACUGGGGCGGUCGCCUCCUAAAUAGUAACGGAGGCUUACAAAGGUUAGUUCAGAUGGGUUGGAAAUCCAUCGUUGAGUAUAAUGGCAUAAACUAGCUUGACUGUGAGACCAACAAGUCGAACAGAGACGAAAGUCGGUCAUAGUGAUCCGGUGGUUCUGCGUGGAAGGGCCAUCGCUCAAAGGAUAAAAGGUACGCCGGGGAUAACAGGCUGAUCUCCCCCAAGAGCUCACAUCGACGGGGAGGUUUGGCACCUCGAUGUCGGCUCAUCGCAUCCUGGGGCUGUAGUCGGUCCCAAGGGUAUGGCUGUUCGCCAUUUAAAGCGGUACGCGAGCUGGGUUCAGAACGUCGUGAGACAGUUCGGUCCCUAUCUUCCGUGGGCGUAGGAAAGUUGAAGAGAUUUGUCCCUAGUACGAGAGGACCGGGAUGAACCAACCACUGGUGUACCAAUUGUUCUGCCAAGAGCAUCGUUGGGUAGCCACGUUGGGAUGUGAUAAGAGCUGAAAGCAUCUAAGCUCGAAGCCAACUCUAAGAUGAACUUUCCCUGAAGUUCCCAGCAAGACUAGCUGGUUGAUAGGCUGGAUGUGUAAUGGGUGUAAGCCCUUUAGCUGACCAGUACUAAUAGAACGUUUGGCUUAUUUU
rnacentral:rRNA from 1 species